GCCCUUUUUGCCCCCUUCCCCCACCCCAAAACCUAUUCUUCUUCCUUUUACCCCAUCUCCCCCUCACCUCCUUUCACUUAUGUCUUCCCAAAUACAGAAUCCUCAACCCAUCUUCGUCCGUCAUCUUUUCCCAAAAAUAUAACCCUCACCCCUCCUUUCACUUAUGUCUUCCACCUAAUCGUCAUGACUUUAUCUAACCGAAUCUCGAUUGGAGGUUCAAGAUCUUCUUGAACUCGUAAGGAUUUGGGCAGUCGAAUUUUGAUACCAGGUCAGGCCUGGAGAGACUUUCUUUGGGAAAAGAAGUGGUGAAGGAAUUUGAUAAUGAAUCCGAGUAAGGCAAUGAAGGAGUCGUAAUAGUCGUCAGAAUUGGUGCUGGAGAUGACCCGAUCGACCUAGUGGCAGAGCAUCUGCUUGAGGACCAAAGAGUUGAACCAUCUGGAAAUGGCAAGAUAUCGAAUUAGGGCUUUGAUGUCAGAUAUUUGGUUGAAAAUCAGGUGUAUAAGCAGGACAGGUAUCCGAUAAACCUGUCGGAGCUAUCCAACUCGAGCUUCAUUAGCCAGUUGUAAAAUCAUUUUUCUUCUGAAAACAAGAAAGAAAAAUUUGAUAAAAAGCCUAACACACCCAAAUACAACUAAAAUACACGUAAUUUUCCAUGUGAACCGGAGGUGUCUAAUUGAUGUACUUUAACAUCCAUUUGAAGUGUCUAAAUAGCAAAUGGGUUAAUUGAAGUGUUUGCAUGAUACGUUGAGGAUAAUCUAACCGAGCCUUUUAUGUAUUUGUCGAAUUAAGAACCAUAUGAAAUUGGAAGAUGUCUCUUUAUUGGCAUGAUAGAAUUUCAUAAGUUUAUUGGUCCUAUAACAACUUAGAGACUAAAUUCAUACGAGAAAGAUGGAUGUUUGUUCUUGAGAUAUAAAAAUACACUGAUCUUGAAACUUGCAGGAUUCACUAUGCUACUUGAAUAUUA
rnacentral:lncRNA from 1 species